AACGAACGCUGGCGGCAUGCCUAACACAUGCAAGUCGAACGAGACCUUCGGGUCUAGUGGCGCACGGGUGCGUAACGCGUGGGAACCUGCCCUUAGGCUCGGAAUAACUCCCCGAAAGGGGUGCUAAUACCGGAUAAUGUCUUCGGACCAAAGAUUUAUCGCCUUUGGAUGGGCCCGCGUUGGAUUAGCUAGUUGGUAGGGUAAAAGCCUACCAAGGCGACGAUCCAUAGCUGGUCUGAGAGGAUGAUCAGCCACACUGGGACUGAGACACGGCCCAGACUCCUACGGGAGGCAGCAGUGGGGAAUAUUGGACAAUGGGCGAAAGCCUGAUCCAGCAAUGCCGCGUGAGUGAUGAAGGCCUUAGGGUUGUAAAGCUCUUUUACCCGGGAUGAUAAUGACGGUACCGGGAGAAUAAGCUCCGGCUAACUCCGUG
rnacentral:rRNA from 1 species